AGAUUGAACGCUGGCGGCAGGCCUAACACAUGCAAGUCGAGCGGUAGAGAGGUGCUUGCAUCUCUUGAGAGCGGCGGACGGGUGAGUAAUGCCUAGGAAUCUGCCUAGUGGUGGGGGAUAACGUUCGGAAACGGACGCUAAUACCGCAUACGUCCUACGGGAGAAAGCGGGGGACCUUCGGGCCUCGCGCCAUUAGAUGAGCCUAGGUCGGAUUAGCUAGUUGGUGAGGUAAUGGCUACACCAAGGCGACGACUCCGUAACUGGUCUGAGAGGACUGAUCAGUCCACACGUAGGAACUGAAGACCACCGGUCCACGACCUCCGGUACGGGAGC
rnacentral:rRNA from 1 species